GGACCUUUAGCUCAGUUGGUUACAGCGCCGGCUCAUAACCGGUAGGUCCGGGGUUCGAGUCCCUGAAGGUCCACCA
rnacentral:tRNA from 1 species